CUCUGCACUCCCAACUUGAGCUGUACUUUUUAAGAAAGUGAUUCACCCUGCCUUUGCCCCCUUCCCCAGAACAGAACACGUUGAUCAUGGGCGGUAUUUUUCAUUGUGCCAAAAAGUUGCCAUGACUGUCAUUAAACCUGUUUAACACCAAAUAAUAAGGAAAAUAAAAUAAAAAAUUCGGGCUUGGUGCAGAAACUCACUCCAAAUACAUUACCUUUAAAAAUAUUUAUAUAAUGGUAGAAAUAUUCCAAAAUUCCAUAUUUUGAGAUUUAUACACAAAAGAUAAACAAAUUAGAGGCCAAGAAAAACGGGGCCUGGAAAGGCCGUUGUGAGGAAUGAGCUGGGCCUAAAGAGGCCACUGGCAGGCAGGAGCUGGGACUGCCAAAGCGGCCGAAAGGCAGGAGCUUUGGACUGGGGAGGCCGCAGUGAGGCGAGAGCUAGCUGGGCGUGGAGAGUCCACUGUGAGGCUGAGGCUGGGCCUGUGCAGGCCUUCGAGAGGCAGGAAGCCAGGCCUGCAAAGGCCGACUGGAGGUCAAGUUCUGGGCCUGAAGAGGCCACCAAAAGUCAAAAGCGGGGCCUGGGAAGGCCACUGAGAGCCACGAGCUGGGCUGGGCCGAAAGAGGCCACUGGGAGGCAGGAGAAGCUGGGCCUGGAGAGGCUGACUCGAGGAAGUUUUGCACCGGGAGAGGCCGCCGAGAGGACGGAGCUGGGCCCGGGGAGGCCAACUUGCAGCUCUUCCAGGCCCACUUCCAGGCCAACUUAAGGACGACUUAGGCCUGCAGAGGCCGCCGGGAGGCUGGAGCUGGGCCUGGAGAGGCCGACUUCAGCACGAUUUAGGCCUGCAGAGGUCGCCGGGAGGCCCAAGCUGGGCCUAGAGGAGCCCACCGACCGGAGGCCGUUUGGGGCCUGGAGAUGCCGUCGGAGGGCAGGAGCUGAGCCUGGCGAGGCCACCGUGAGGCCUGACCUGGGCCUGGGGAGCUUGGCUUCAGGAAGUUGUGGGCCUACCAGGGCCACUGGGAGCUGGGCGGGAGCUGAGUCCAAAGACAUUGUUGGGAGGCCGGAGUCGGGCCUGGAGAUGCAGCCGGGAGGAAGAGCUGGGCCCGGAGAGGACGCCGGGAGGCUGCAAGUGGGUCUGGAGAGGCUGACUUGAGGAGGCCCGGCCUCUGCCUCCCUCAUGGCGGCCUCUGCAGGCCCAGCUGUUCCUCCUGGCUGCAUCUCUCGGCCCAGCUCCUGCCUCCCAGCAAGCAAGCUCUUUUGGCUCAGCUCCCGCCGGCGUUUGUAGACCCCGAAGUUUCUGCAGCCAAGCUCUUCAGGCCCACAUCCUGCCUCCCAGUGGCCUGUAGAGUCCCAGCUCUGGCAGCAGAAGAGCAUCUGCAGGCCCCUGGGAGGCAAGAGCGGGGCCUGCAGAGGCUGUUCUACAGCCAGAGCUGGGCCUGUACAGGCCACCGGGAGGCAGUAGGUGGGCCCGAAGAGCUUGGCUCGAGAAAGUUCGGGGCCUACAAAGGCGGCUGGGAGCUGGGCAGGAGUUGAGCCAAAAGAGCUUGCUUACUUGCUGGGAGGCAGGGCCGGGAGACGCCGACUUCAGGACGACUUGGGCCUGCAGAGGUCGCCAGGAGGCCCAAGCUGGGCGUGGAGGAGCCCACCGACCGGAGACCAUUUGGGGCCUGGAGACGCCAUUGGAGGGCAGGAGCUGAUCCUGGAGAGGCCACCGUGAGGCCUGACCUGGGCCUGGGGAGCUUGGCUUCAGGAAGCUGUGGGCCGACCAAGGCCGCCAGGAGAUGGGCAGGCGCUGAGUCCAAAAAGGUUGUUGGGAGGCAGCAGUCGGGCCUGGAGACGCAGCCGGGAGGAAGAGCUGGGCCCGGAGAGGAUGCCGGGAGGCUGCAAGUGAGUCUGGAGAGGCCGACUUGAGGAGGCCCGGCCUCUGCCUCCCGCAUGGUGGCCUCUGCAGGCCCAGCUGUUCCUCCUGGCUGCAUCUCUCGGCCCAGCUCCUGCCUCCCAGCAAGCAAGCUCUUUUGGCUCAGCUCCCGCCGGUGUUUGUAGACCCCGAAGUUUCUGCAGCCAAGCUCUUCAGGCCCACAUACUGCCUCCCAGUGGCCUGUAGAGUCCCAGCUCUGGCAGCAGAAGAGCAUCUGCAGGCCCCGCUGUUGCCUCCCAGGGGCGUCUCCAGGCCCAGCUCUCGCCCCACCGCAGCCUCUCGGGGCCAAGUCCCUGCCUGCUCCCGGCAGCCUGCGUGCAGUCCUGCUCCUCCCUCACGGUGGCCUGUUGAGGCAGGGGCUCACGCUGACCUCUCUCCGCGUGGGAGGGGCCAGUGUGAGGCAAGGGGUCAGCGUGGGAGGGGCCCGUGUGAGGCAAGGGGUCAGCGUGGGAGGGGCCCGUGUGAGGCAAGGGGUCAGCAUGGGAGGGGCUGGUGUGAGGCAAGGGGUCAGCGUGGGAGGGGCCGGUGUGAGGCAAGGGGUCAGCGUGGGAGGGGCCGGUGUGAGGCAAGGGGUCAGCGUGGGAGGGGCCGGUGUGAGGCAAGGGGUCAGCAUGGGAGGGGCCGGUGUGAGGCAAGGGGUCAGCAUGGGAGGGGCCGGUGUGAGGCAAGGGGCUCACGCCGACCUCUCUCAGCGUGGGAGGGGCCGGUGUGAGGCAAGGGGCUCAUGCCGACCUUCCUCAGCGUGGGAGGGGUCGGUGUGAGGCAGGGACUCACGCCUCUGGGCAGGGUGCCAGAGGCAUGAGUUGGGCAUCAACAGGCCACCGUGAGGCAAGAGCUGGAUGUAGACAGGCCAGUGUGAGGCAAGACCUGGGCCUGUCUA
rnacentral:lncRNA from 1 species